rnacentral:snoRNA from 1 species
AAGGCUAUACUUUCAGGGAUCAUUUCUAUAGUUGGUUACUGGAGAAGUUUCUCUGAUCAUGUAGAGUACCAGGAAU